rnacentral:rRNA from 1 species
AUGAAAAAUGCUUAUUUUCUGUACUUCCUUAUGCAGUUUGAAUUACAUGUUUCAUUACGUAAGGUAGUACACACGUUGAUUUUAUUAUCUUGUGCACUCUAUUAUAUAUGUAUGUUUUUUUCUUUUCUGGAAGGAAUUUACAGUAAUCUGUCCUCUACUACUGAAGUAAAAUACUUAAUUAAUCAUAGCAGCAAAAAUAUGUCCAGUACUCACAAGGUUUGCCUCUUUAUGUUUGUACCUGACAAGGGACGAGAAGCCACAAAAGCCACUAAAGGUGAGCCUCGGGAUGCCGAGCUCCCUUGCGAUGUCACCGGUCCACCAGUGUACCAUGUCAGAUAUGAUGCAGCUAGGAGGCAAGCGCUGCUGCUCAAGGAGGUACGCCAUGAGCGGCUCCUGCAGCGCGGCACAGGCCUUCAUGAAGUUCAAGAACAAAUUCUUUGA